rnacentral:rRNA from 1 species
GACGAACGCUGGCGGCGUGCUUAACACAUGCAAGUCGAACGCGCCUGUCCUCUGGGUUUCUGGGGGGUGGGUGAGUGGCGAACGGGUGAGUAACACGUGAGUAACCUGCCCCCUUCUUCGGGAUAACGGUCUGAAAGGGCUGCUAAUACCGGGUAUUCACUGGUCUCCGCAUGGGGUCUGGUGGAAAGGUUUUUUUCUGGUGGGGGAUGGGCUCGCGGCCUAUCAGCUUGUUGGUGGGGUGAUGGCCCACCAAGGCUUUGACCGGUAGCCGGCCGGAGAGGAGGAGCAGGUCAGCUGGAACGGAGGCGCGGGCCAGACGCCGACGGGAGGCAGCAGUGGGGAAUAGGGGACACGGGGAGAAAGCCGGAGCCAGCGAUGCGGCGUGGGGGAAGAAGGUCUUCGGAUGGUGAAGCACGGUAAGUUGGGAGGAAGGGCAGGAAGAGAAUACCGGGCUGUGUUGACGGUACCAACAGAAUAAGCACCGGCGAACGUCGUG